AUAGCGAUCGCAGAUCCUUCAUAAACCCUGGAGGGGUUUGGCUGCUGUUUCAAUAAGGAUAAAGACUCCAGUGACCCUCUCCGCGUCAGGAAUUGAGGCAAUGGAGCCAAGUAAUGUAUACUUGUAAAGUAUUUGGAAGAUAUAUUGCAUAUAUAGGGAACAAAACUGAAGUACCCCGACUAAUAGAAUCCACAACUCAAAAGGUUUUGUAGUGGGGUUCCACAUGGCUGCAGCUCUUAGAUAUCAGGCAACAAAACGCUUGUUGGGUUUCUCUUCUCCCAUUAGUUCCUGUUGCAGAGGAGCUGUUUUAGAUUCCCCGGUUGUUCCAGAGCUGAAGAAUGGGGUCAGUAGUAGCUUUAUUGGUGGGUUCUGGUGGAGCAAAUCGAUGGCCACAUUUACUCGCACGAAACCUCAUGUAAAUGUUGGCACCAUUGGACAUGUUGAUCAUGGGAAAACUACACUCACUGCAGCUAUCACGAAGGUGUUAGCAGAAGAAGGAAAAGCAAAGGCUGUCGCCUUUGAUGAGAUUGACAAAGCUCCAGAGGAGAAAGCCCGAGGGAUUACCAUUGCAACUGCUCAUGUGGAAUAUGAAACUGCCAAGCGCCACUAUGCACAUGUAGAUUGCCCUGGACAUGCAGACUAUGUAAAAAACAUGAUUACAGGUGCUGCACAAAUGGAUGGGGGCAUCCUCGUGGUAUCAGCUCCAGAUGGACCAAUGCCCCAAACGAAGGAGCAUAUUCUCCUUGCUCGCCAGGUUGGUGUACCAUCAUUGGUGUGCUUUCUCAACAAGGUUGAUGCCGUGGAUGAUCCAGAGCUUCUGGAACUUGUAGAAAUGGAGCUUCGUGAGCUGCUUAGCUUCUACAAGUUUCCUGGUGAUGAAAUUCCAAUUGUUCGGGGCUCAGCUCUGUCUGCAUUACAAGGGACAAAUGAAGAGAUAGGAAAGCAGGCUAUUUUGAAACUGAUGGAUGCUGUGGAUUCUUACAUUCCUGAACCAGUUCGGCAGCUAGACAAGCCUUUCCUCAUGCCAAUCGAAGAUGUUUUCUCAAUUCAGGGCCGUGGAACUGUUGUCACAGGCCGUAUUGAGCAGGGCACCGUUAAGGUUGGAGAGGAUGUUGAGGUCCUAGGUCUUAUGCAGGGUGGCCCUGUCAAGACCACUGUUACUGGUGUUGAGAUGUUCAAGAAAAUUUUGGAUAAUGGACAAGCUGGUGAUAACGUGGGUCUUCUUCUUCGUGGUUUAAAGCGUGGAGACGUGCAAAGGGGACAGGUUAUCUGUAAACCUGGUACAGUGAAGACAUAUAAGAAGUUUGAAGCAGAGAUAUAUGUUCUCACCAAGGAUGAAGGUGGUCGGCACACUGCAUUUUUCUCAAACUACCGACCUCAGUUCUACUUGAGGACAGCAGAUGUUACUGGGAAGGUGGAUUUGCCUGAAAAUGUGAAGAUGGUUAUGCCUGGUGAUAAUGUAACUGCUAUCUUUGAGCUCAUAUCACCUGUCCCACUUGAGCCAGGCCAAAGAUUUGCUCUAAGGGAAGGAGGGAGAACAGUUGGUGCAGGCGUGGUUUCCAAAGUGAUUAGCUGAUUAAGAAAUGUAAAAAGAGUACCAAGGAGUCUAGUCUAGUGGAGUUUGAUUUACUCGUCUCUCAUCUUGCACGCUCUGGGACUCCUCUCUCUAGAUAUUCAGUUACUCUUUCAUUUCAGUUAAACCUGCUUGCACAAAUUCCAGAUCGCUCAAAAAACGACUCCGCUUGAUCUCCGUAAUGGUCUCUCUCUCUCUCAAUUGAUGUGAGAGAAUCCAUAAAUCUCUUUCAAUGCAGUCAGUAUCCUGUCUUUGUACUAUAUUUCCAGUGUUUCAUGAUUCUCAGAGUUGGAUUAUUCCAAGGAGACAGCUAUUUAAAUGAGUUGGGAUAGCAAAGCAAAGAUGGGGAGUUAAUAGAGUCUUGGGGUGCACGUUACAGGAAUGGAUGAGUCACGUUAUGGUUUCUUGAAUCCUUUUGCUUCCAAGUUGUAAAAAGAGUUGCCACUGUUUCGUAACUACAUUCUUUUAGCUCGCUCUCUCUCUCUCUCUCUCAUCAUGCUUGCAAACGUGAUAUAUGUGUCGUGUUUGGAUUUUUAAUCUACGUUGGUGUGAUGUUUUCGUUC